UCCCUGGUGGUCCAGUGGUUAGGACUCGGCACUUUUACUGCUGUGGCCCAGGUUCAAUCCCUGGUUGGGGAA